AGAGUUUGAUCCUGGCUCAGAAUGAACGCUAGCGGCAGGCUUAACACAUGCAAGUCGAGGGGCAGCGGGGAGGAAGCUUGCUUUCUCCGCCGGCGACCGGCGCACGGGUGAGUAACACGUAUGCAACCUGCCCCUGUCAGGGGGACAACCCGCCGAAAGGCGGGCUAAACCCGCGUACAUGCCACCGGGGCAUCCCGGAGGCAGGAAAGGCUUCGGCCGGACAGGGAUGGGCAUGCGGCGCAUUAGGCAGUAGGCGGGGUAACGGCCCACCUAACCGACGAUGCGUAGGGGUUCUGAGAGGAAGGUCCCCCACACUGGUACUGAGACACGGACCAGACUCCUACGGGAGGCAGCAGUGAGGAAUAUUGGUCAAUGGUCGGGAGACUGAACCAGCCAAGCCGCGUGAGGGAGGAAGGUACAGAGUAUCGUAAACCUCUUUUGUCAGGGAACAAAGGCGGGGACGUGUCCCCGGAUGAGUGUACCUGAAGAAAAAGCAUCGGCUAACUCCGUGCCAGCAGCCGCGGUAAUACGGAGGAUGCGAGCGUUAUCCGGAUUUAUUGGGUUUAAAGGGUGCGCAGGCGGUCUGUUAAGUCAGCGGUCAAAGCCCGGGGCUCAACCCCGGCCCGCCGUUGAAACUGGCAGUCUCGAGUUGGAGAGAAGUAUGCGGAAUGCGCGGUGUAGCGGUGAAAUGCAUAGAUAUCGCGCAGAACUCCGAUUGCGAAGGCAGCAUGCCGGCUCCACACUGACGCUGAGGCACGAAAGCGUGGGUAUCGAACAGGAUUAGAUACCCUGGUAGUCCACGCAGUAAACGAUGAAUGCUGGCUGUCCGGGGGGAUUGACCCCUGGGUGGCGAAGCGAAAGCGAUAAGCAUUCCACCUGGGGAGUACGCCGGCAACGGUGAAACUCAAAGGAAUUGACGGGGGCCCGCACAAGCGGAGGAACAUGUGGUUUAAUUCGAUGAUACGCGAGGAACCUUACCCGGGCUCAAACGGGGAGUGACUCAGUCAGAGACGCCUGUUUCCCACGGGACACUCCCCGAGGUGCUGCAUGGUUGUCGUCAGCUCGUGCCGUGAGGUGUCGGCUUAAGUGCCAUAACGAGCGCAACCCCUGCGUGCAGUUGCUAACAGAUAACGCUGAGGACUCUGCACGGACUGCCGGCGCAAGCCGCGAGGAAGGCGGGGAUGACGUCAAAUCAGCACGGCCCUUACGUCCGGGGCGACACACGUGUUACAAUGGGUGGUACAGCGGGAAGCCAGGCGGCGACGCCGAGCGGAACCCGAAAUCCACUCUCAGUUCGGAUCGGAGUCUGCAACCCGACUCCGUGAAGCUGGAUUCGCUAGUAAUCGCGCAUCAGCCAUGGCGCGGUGAAUA
rnacentral:rRNA from 1 species